rnacentral:rRNA from 1 species
GCUGACGAGCGGCGGACGGGUGAGUAAUGCAUAGGAAUCUGCCCGAUAGUGGGGGAUAACCUGGGGAAACCCAGGCUAAUACCGCAUACGUCCUACGGGAGAAAGGGGGCUCCGGCUCCCGCUAUGGGAUGAGCCUAUGUCGGAUUAGCUAGUUGGUGAGGUAACGGCUCACCAAGGCCACGAUCCGUAGCUGGUCUGAGAGGAUGAUCAGCCACAUCGGGACUGAGACACGGCCCGAACUCCUACGGGAGGCAGCAGUGGGGAAUAUUGGACAAUGGGGGCAACCCUGAUCCAGCCAUGCCGCGUGUGUGAAGAAGGCCCUCGGGUUGUAAAGCACUUUCAGCGAGGAAGAACGCCUAGCGGUUAAUACCCGCUAGGAAAGACAUCACUCGCAGAAGAAGCACCGGCUAACUCCGUGCCAGCAGCCGCGGUAAUACGGAGGGUGCAAGCGUUAAUCGGAAUUACUGGGCGUAAAGCGCGCGUAGGUGGCUUGAUAAGCCGGUUGUGAAAGCCCCGGGCUCAACCUGGGAACGGCAUCCGGAACUGUCAAGCUAGAGUGCAGGAGAGGAAGGUAGAAUUCCCGGUGUAGCGGUGAAAUGCGUAGAGAUCGG